rnacentral:rRNA from 1 species
GUCUACGGCCAAGCCACCCUGAACAAGCCCAGUUCCGUCUGAUCUCGGAAGCUAAGCAAGGUCGGGCCUGGUUAGUACUUGGUUGGGAGACCACCUAGGAAGACCAAGUGCUGUAGGCG